rnacentral:rRNA from 1 species
AACGCUAGCUACAGGCUUAACACAUGCAAGUCGAGGGGCAGCAUGGUCUUAGCUUGCUAAGGCCGAUGGCGACCGGCGCACGGGUGAGCAACACGUAUCCAACCUGCCGUCUACUCUUGGACAGCCUUCUGAAAGGAAGAUUAAUACAAGAUGGCAUCAUGAGUCCGCAUGUUCACAUGAUUAAAGGUAUUCCGGUAGACGAUGGGGAUGCGUUCCAUUAGAUAGUAGGCGGGGUAACGGCCCACCUAGUCUUCGAUGGAUAGGGGUUCUGAGAGGAAGGUCCCCCACAUUGGAACUGAGACACGGUCCAAACUCCUACGGGAGGCAGCAGUGAGGAAUAUUGGUCAAUGGACGAGAGUCUGAACCAGCCAAGUAGCGUGAAGGAUGACUGCCCUAUGGGUUGUAAACUUCUUUUAUACGGGAAUAAAGUUAGCCACGUGUGGCUUUUUGUAUGUACCGUAUGAAUAAGGAUCGGCUAACUCCGUGCCAGCAGCCGCGGUAAUACGGAGGAUCCGAGCGUUAUCCGGAUUUAUUGGGUUUAAAGGGAGCGUAGGCGGGUUGUUAAGUCAGUUGUGAAAGUUUGCGGCUCAACCGUAAAAUUGCAGUUGAAACUGGCAGUCUUGAGUACAGUAGAGGUGGGCGGAAUUCGUGGUGUAGCGGUGAAAUGCUUAGAUAUCACGAAGAACUCCGAUUG